rnacentral:rRNA from 1 species
CCUACGGGAGGCAGCAGUGGGGAAUAUUGCACAAUGGGGGAAACCCUGAUGCAGCAACGCCGCGUGAGUGAAGAAGUAUUUCGGUAUGUAAAGCUCUAUCAGCAGGGAAGAGAAUGACGGUACCUGACUAAGAAGCCCCGGCUAACUACGUGCCAGCAGCCGCGGUAAUACGUAGGGGGCGAGCGUUAUCCGGAUUUACUGGGUGUAAAGGGAGCGUAGACGGUUCUGCAAGUCUGAAGUGAAAGCCCGGGGCUUAACCGCGGAACGGCUUUGGAAACUGUGGAACUGGAGUGCUGGAGAGGCAAGCGGAAUUCCUAGUGUAGCGGUGAAAUGCGUAGAUAUUAGGAGGAACACCAGUGGCGAAGGCGGCUUGCUGGACAGUAACUGACGUUGAGGCUCGAAAGCGUGGGGAGCAAACAGGAUUAGAUACCCGUGUAGUC